rnacentral:misc_RNA from 1 species
GUGAAUCAUCAAAUUUUUGAACGCAUAUUGCACUCCCCAGCAUUCCGGGGAGUAUGCCUGUUUCAGCAUCAGAAUCAUCCUCGAGCCCACGAGGCUGACACUUAGCUCGUAUUCCGUCUUCUGCUUUAAAAAAAAAAUUUUGGUUAAGGGGCUUAAAAUUGACCUUUUUUGCGCAUCUUUAGACGUACAUAAAUUUUUUUUUUAUUCGUCUAUUCUUAUUGCCAAAAUCUUAUUAGAUGCGAUGAUAUCGUGUGGUUUUGUGUCCAUAAAAUUUUCAUGAUUUGACCUC